rnacentral:rRNA from 1 species
CGAUGUCGGCUCAUCACAUCCUGGGGCUGAAGCCGGUCCCAAGGGUAUGGCUGUUCGCCAUUUAAAGUGGUACGCGAGCUGGGUUUAGAACGUCGUGAGACAGUUCGGUCCCUAUCUACCGUGGGCGUUGGAGACUUGAAGGGGGCUGCUCCUAGUACGAGAGGACCGGAGUGGACGUACCUCUGGUGUUCCGGUUGUCACGUCAGUGGCACAGCCGGGUAGCUAUGUACGGUCGGAAUAACCGCUGAAAGCAUCUAAGCGGGAAGUCCACCCUGAGAUGAGGUCUCCCUGGACCUUCGAGGUCCCUGAAGGCUCGUCGUAGACUACGACGUUGAUAGGCUGGGUGUGGAAGCGCAGCAAUGUGCGGAGCUAACCAGUACUAAUUGGCCGUGAGACUUGACCAU